rnacentral:tRNA from 1 species
GCCCGGGUGGCUCAGUCGGUGGAGCCUCUGACUUCAGCUCAGGUCACGAUCUCGCGGUGCGUGGGUUUGAGCCCCACAUCGGACU